UGGACUUAGAAUAUGCUAUG
rnacentral:snRNA from 1 species